CAGGAAGCCUGGUGCUGGCAGAUCUGCUUCUAGGGAGUUCUCAGGAAGCUUCUGGUCAUGGUGGAAGGCAAUGCGGAGCCAGCGAGUCACAUGAUGAGACCCCGAGCAAGAAAGAGAGGCCGGGAGGUGCCACACUCUACAACAACCAGAACGUGCCUGUGUAAUCAGAACCCAGAAAAGGGAAAAGAGCAUUCUUCACCACACAGAAGUCCUGGUGACAGUCUUUCUAGUUAUCGGCCCACUGCAAGGGUAACCCUAUCCAAACUGCGUUGAUUAGGUUUUCAUAUUUCAUAGAAAUGGAUUCAUACACUACUUGCUCUUUUGUGUCUGGAUUUUUCAUCAUGCAACAUUAUUUCUCAACCUGGAGCUGUGCGGACUGAGACUGAGAUGCAUCGCUGAAACUCUCUUUAGGUGUUCCCUACCAUUUCUUCUUGGAAAAGAAGGUUUUACCUCCUGGGAUUUUUGAGAACCUCUAACUUCUCCAUUGGGGACCAUCUCCAGGUACCACCAAAAAAGAGCACAACAGCAGCCUUGCGGAUAAGUCCUGGUCUGGAGUCAGCCACCGCUGCACACACCACUCAGAGCUGCAUCAUCGGGUUACCCCUGGAAAGGCUGCCCACACACCCACAUCCAGGGGUGUCUCGUCACUGCUGACGACUAGCACGGUGAAUGUUCUGCUUCGUGGAGAGACUAUCAGAGCUGGAAUAUCCAUAGGCUUAUAAUCUUCAUGAAUACUUCCUCUCUCAAUUGCCGUGAAAUAAUAUGGCUCCUCAGUCCAUGAAGCUGGCAUCAAUAACUGAAAUAGGCUCGGAAAAGUCCGGGC
rnacentral:lncRNA from 1 species